AGGGUCUGUUUGCGAGCUCACAGAAGCUGCAAUGGUCUCAGUUUGACUACUGCUGAGUUGCUGUACCUUGUUGUUAAACUGUUGUAGCCCUGGGGAAAGAAAGGGGUCUAACAAAACUUCGCUGAGCAGAGGAUCUUUAUCUGAUGUAAGGCAGAUGUUUAACCAGCAUAGAAGAUAUCUCGCCCAGGCGACAGUCUCUACCUUGUGUUGACCUCCCUCUAGACGCAAGGCCGCAUAGGGUACACAGCGUGGGACAGUAAAAAUCUUGAAGAGGAAAGCUGCCUGCACCCAUUCUACCAACUGGGUAAACCCUGGCGGCCAGACUGGAAUACCAUAGAGCAAUUGAGCUAUAAUUUUGGCAUUGAAGACCUUAAGGGCAGAAGGGAUAUGAGAAUUACCUCUUGUUAUGAAAAAAUGCAUUAGACAUCUUACUGGCAUUCACCGCCGUUGCACGGUGCGUGGACCAGAGCAGCCUAUGAUGGAAUUUAAUUCCCAGAUAGUUGAAUUCAAAUACCUGCUGAAGGGUUUUCCACCAAAUACCUAGCUAUAGCUCUUGCGUGAAUUCCCCCAAACCAUUAUUUUGCUUUUGUCAAAGUUCAUGCACAAUUUCAUGAUUUGUUUUGGAUCUUUGUACAGUAUGUGAUGCCAAUAAAAGGUUUGAUGAUGAUGAUGAC